UACGUAGGGUGCGAGCGUUGUCCGGAAUUAUUGGGCGUAAAGGGCUCGUAGGCGGUUUGUCGCGUCGGCAGUGAAAUCCACUGGCUUAACUGGUGGCUUGCUUUCGAUACGGGCAGACUGGAGGUAUGCAGGGGAGAACGGAAUUCCUGGUGUAGCGGUGAAAUGCGCAGAUAUCAGGAAGAACACCGGUGGCGAAGGCGGCCCACUGGUCCGGUACUGACGCUGAGGUGCGAAAGCGUGGGGAGCAAACAGG
rnacentral:rRNA from 1 species